UACGGAGGAGCUAGCGUUGUUCGGAAUUACUGGGCGUAAAGCGCGCGUAGGCGGCUUUGUAGGUUAGAGGUGAAAGCCCGGGGCUCAACCCCGGAAUUGCCUUUAAGACUGCAUCGCUAGAAUCCAGGAGGAGGUGAGUUGGAAUUCCGAGUGUAGAGGUGAAAAUUCGUAGAUAUUCGGAAGAACACCAGUGGCGAAGGGCGGCUCC
rnacentral:rRNA from 1 species